CAAACCCUUUGUGAGUGACAAUGGGGAACUGCCUGAAAUGCACAGGGGAUACCAAAUAAUACAGCCAUAGACUAUGCUAUUGUCAGCUGUCUAAUUUGGUAUCCACUGUUUCUCAUUGUAAAUGCCAAUCUUCUGUGUGUACUGUAUAUAAAAUAAAUAUAUAAACAAAUAUCUGUAAACAAUAACGUUAUAUCCUAACCCUAGUCAUAACUGAUUACGCACACCACACAAAUAUCCUGCCGCCCUGUCGAAAAAGUUUGUAAAUGACUGCAAAAUGCAGCUGACUGCCGUUGCGCGUGCACAUCACUCGUACUUUAUCUCGGACACGAGCAAAAGAUAAAUCAGACGUGCUUGUGGGAUAAUCUCUUUUUAAUCAUGCGCAAUGCUCCAGGGGAUACAGAUUUCUGAGGGGUACUGAAUUGGUUACGACACCUGCUCACAGAGCGCGCAGCAACCAGGGUCGCUGCGAGUUACCCUUGCCAGUUUCAGACCCCAAACAACAAUGCCCCACACAAGUUUCUUGUGACAGUCUGGGACCAAAUUCAAAAGUGCUGAGAAUACCCUAAGGCUGAUCUGGUCUUUGUAAUCAACCUGGUUGGAAUAAAUAGUUUAUAUUGUGGCUUUCACCAAAUAUGAAUAAUUUUAAAAAGGGUCUUUACAUCUUACAGCAGAUCAAGCAUGGCAGGUUCACAAUGGAGUUUCAUAAUUGCGUUUUGCUUUUAUAAAAAAGCAGCUGUUGGUAUAUUUGCUGUGAGUUUACAGCUGCAGAAUGCAUUAACAGGUGGAGCAGUGUUACCUCUCAAUGCUGCUAUUUUGUUUGCUGUAUUCGUUGAGAGCUGGCAAGAGUGUUCUAGCAGCAUGCUUUCAUAGCUGUUCAUGUCAUACAAUAAUUUGAUACGUACCACAUUUUUUUGGAAAUUUUCCUUUGCUUUUAAAAUAAACCUGAAUUUUGCUGAAAAUAUUUUUUGAAGUGUAUAUUAAAUAUUAUGCACUCAAGUCACCUGACUGCUAAGGAUGUCUGUGCAAUAAGAUUACUUUGCUAGUACACAAAUUAUAUAUGAAAUAUCAGUAAGACUGCUGAUAAAUUCCUUUGCCUGUGGAAUAACAGGUUGUAAAGACAGCAUUUACAGAUUAGAUUAGUAGUUGCAAUGUUUGGUGUACUGUACAGUAAAUAUAGGGUUGCUAAAUUGCAAUGGAGCUAAACUACAGUUGCAUUGCAGUUGGACUGAAAUCUGUCUACACCCUCCUGAUGAGAUGUACUUUCCCUGUGUAUCUUCAGGCAGUCUCCUGCUUGAGUUACUGUAAGCUCUGUAGGAAAAGAAGACCCAAAGAGAGUGUGGGCCCCUUGCAGUAAAUGCCUGCUUCUAAUUAACUGACAGUUAUGCAAUUGGUAUCAAAGUAACUACCCAAAGUGCCCAGCCCCUUAUAUCCAGAGCAUUUACCCAUACUGAACCUCCUAAUUUACUGAAGCAGGAAGAACAACAAUCGAAUGCACUAUUGUAAAUCCAGUAGUACUGCACAGUAAUUGUAAAUCUUGAGUACUGUCUCAGCCAGCCAAGCAUGCACUGACAGUAUCCCACUGCUGUACUUGUGAUCUUGAAAUACUCACUGUAACUGCUGCUUCAGUUAAUUUUCAUUUUUGCACAGGAAAGGUGAGGGACAAUAGCACUAGCUACAUGAGCAGCAUACAAGCUUCCACCACAGCUCUAUGAGAGCCCCGCACUUACAGCAUAACCCCUGCCUUCACUCCUGGGUCUCACUCAAACACUCAUUUUGUUGUAUUUCCAAACUGUGUAUUUGGAUUCAUGAAUGUAUUCUGGUGGUUAAGUUGAGACAGCAUACUAAUUUUACUUGUGACUUGUGCUGAAUUGAAAAACAGACCAGGUAAAAUAUUUGCUGGCAAUGUAGCCCAUUAUGACACCUAGCCCUCCUAAUUACAAUGAUGCCAAGUACAUCCUUUAUAAAAUAAAAUAUAUUAUCAUUAUACCAAAG